rnacentral:rRNA from 1 species
CUACGGGAGGCAGCAGUGGGGAAUAUUGCGCAAUGGGCGAAAGCCUGACGCAGCGACGCCGCGUGAGGGACGACGGCCUUCGGGUUGUAAACCUCUUUCAGCAGGGACGAAGCGCAAGUGACGGUACCUGCAGAAGAAGCACCGGCUAACUACGUGCCAGCAGCCGCGGUAAUACGUAGGGUGCAAGCGUUGUCCGGAUUUAUUGGGCGUAAAGAGCUCGUAGGUGGCCUGCCGCGUCGGAUGUGAAAACCCGGGGCUCAACCCCGGGCCUGCAUUCGAUACGGGCAGGCUAGAGGAUGGCAGGGGAAACUGGAAUUCCUGGUGUAGCGGUGAAAUGCGCAGAUAUCAGGAGGAACACCGGUGGCGAAGGCGGGUUUCUGGGCCAUUCCUGACACUGAGGAGCGAAAGCGUGAGGAGCAAACAGGAUUAGAUACCCUGGUAGU